ensembl:lncRNA
CACUUUAGAGCUGAAGACGUCAAUUAUUUGUUUCUGCUUUCAAAGAGAAACGAAAUGAUCCUUCUAGAGCGUAAAGCUGCUUUACAGGUUGGUAACAGCUGGUCUGUUUCCAGAUGCUUUACUGUGACGGCUCUACUAGGAUACGUUGUUCAUGAGAUUAUUUUCAUUAUAUUCACGUAAAAGCAGGAUUGUACUGUUGUUAAAGUGGAGCUGGCUGAAUUAUUCACCAAUGGUUAUUUUGACGAUGGAUUAAUCUGCUGAUUGGAUUUGUUCUUCCGUCCGUUAUGGGAUCCUGUGCUUUUCCACUACGACUCAUCUUUUUAUCAUCAGCUCCGUUUGGUCUCAGACUCGUCCUGUUCUUCCACUGUGAUCAAACAUCUUCUGUGAAGCCCUGGAGGCUCUCCUGCGCCCUCUAGAGGGCUCCCGGUCUCCGUGAGGGCCUCCCCCCCCCCCCCCUCCCCCUGAUGGGGGGCUCCGGUGCCGCUGUGAGGCUGCAUGAGUCCAGGAGCUCUCAGGACUCCGAGGAGCUGGACGGACCCCCCGCCUCUAAACCCACGACACUGUGCAGCAGAAGGUCUGGACUCCUCAGCGAGUCUCCUCCGGGGGAAAACUACCAGCGGAGCUUUGACCUUUGCACCCUGAGAGCGGUGACCCCCCUCCGCCUCCGUCCAGCCGCGCCGGAGCAGCGCCCCCCACAGAGCACCUACCGAGAGCAGUUUCAGUCUCCUCUGUUUCCGCAGUAGAAAACAACGUCCAACAAUGAAAAAGUCAUGAGUUUAAAACGCAAAAUGCAGAAAGGACAACUUGCAAAUAAUUGAUUGUAUGAAUGUGUGAAACUAAAAGACUGGGCGGGGCAUUGGUUGUGGAAUGUAAGGUAAUCUGAGUGCCCCCCCCCCCGGCGUGCUUCACGGCCCCUGAGAAACGCGAGUUGUUCCUGCAGAGAAACAAUGCUGUUGUUGUAACAUCGGUAACGUUUGCUCCGUCCGUGAAUGCAAACCGGCCCGACAGCAUAACCCCAAGUUUGUUUUCCUCCACCUUCAUAAUGUCAUAGAUAUUUGUGUUUGUACGCUGUGUGAACCAAAUAAACAAACAACUAAAAGGAACAAACCCUUUCGCAAACAAAAUAAAAAUGAAAGUCUGAGUUUAAAAGCUUGUAUUGAUCUGAAUGAAUGAGAUGAUUUAAAGCUUCUCUGUUUUAAAACACUUGAGCAGAUUAUCAGUGGCACAAAACCACAAUGACUCUUUGGAUUCAGACACAAUAAACUACUGUAGAUCAGCGAGAACUUGUUACGCUGAUGACGUGACUGUUUAUUUAGCAUGGCUUGUACUGUGAUGGGGGGAGUAUUCAGAUAUU